CAAUUAUAUUAUGAAAAGAGAAGACCGGAAGAUCGUCAGUCUCCAAUGCACCAUCUGACAAGUUGUUCUAUAGAGGAGCGUGAAGAAAGCAGUGUCGUUGGGAACCCCUCCAACCAUAUCAGGUUUAGAAGGCUGAGGCAGACGUUGGCAAGGCAACAGACACAUUUCAGAUGGAGGACGGGACAGAUGAGUUUGUCAUGGAGUCCCCUGACUGACCAACAGACAGGUUGAGACAGACAGAGUCCCCUGACUGACCAACAGACAGGUUGAUACAGACUGAGUCCCCUGACUGACCAACAGACAGGUUGAGACAGACUGAGUCCCUGACCA